AUUGAACGCUGGCGGCAGGCUUAACACAUGCAAGUCGAGCGGUAGCACAAGGGAGCUUGCUCUCUGGGUGACGAGCGGCGGACGGGUGAGUAAUGUCUGGGAAACUGCCUGAUGGAGGGGGAUAACUACUGGAAACGGUAGCUAAUACCGCAUAACGUCGCAAGACCAAAGAGGGGGACCUUCGGGCCUCUUGCCAUCAGAUGUGCCCAGAUGGGAUUAGCUAGUAGGUGGGGUAAUGGCUCACCUAGGCGACGAUCCCUAGCUGGUCUGAGAGGAUGACCAGCCACACUGGAACUGAGACACGGUCCAGACUCCUACGGGAGGCAGCAGUGGGGAAUAUUGCACAAUGGGCGCAAGCCUGAUGCAGCCAUGCCGCGUGUGUGAAGAAGGCCUUCGGGUUGUAAAGCACUUUCAGCGAGGAGGAAGGUGGUGAGCUUAAUACGCUCAUCAAUUGACGUUACUCGCAGAAGAAGCACCGGCUAACUCCGUGCCAGCAGCCGCGGUAAUACGGAGGGUGCAAGCGUUAAUUGGAAUUACUGGGCGUAAAACGCACGCAGGCGGUUUGUUAAGUCAGAUGUGAAAUCCCCGGGCUCAACCUGGGAACUGCAUUUGAAACUGGCAAGCUAGAGUCUCGUAGAGGGGGGGUAGAAUUCCAGGUGUAGCGGUGAAAUGCGUAGAGAUCUGGAGGAAUACCGGUGGCGAAGGCGGCCCCCUGGAACGAAGA
rnacentral:rRNA from 1 species